rnacentral:rRNA from 1 species
UACGUAGGGUGCAAGCGUUGUCCGGAAUUAUUGGGCGUAAAGAGCUCGUAGGCGGUUUGUCGCGUCGUUUGUGAAAACCCGGGGCUCAACUCCGGGCCUGCAGCCGAUACGGGCAGACUAGAGUUCGGCAGGGGAGACUGGAAUUCCUGGUGUAGCGGUGAAAUGCGCAGAUAUCAGGAGGAACACCGAUGGCGAAGGCGGGUCUCUGGGCAGUAACUGACGCUGAGGAGCGAAAGCGUGGGGAGCGAACAGG